rnacentral:rRNA from 1 species
GAUCAUGGCUCAGGAUGAACGCUAGCGGCAGGCCUAACACAUGCAAGUCGAGGGGCAGCACGUUGUAGCAAUACACUGGUGGCGACCGGCGCACUGGUGCGUAACGCGUAUGCAACCUACCCAUAACAGGGGGAUAACACUGAGAAAUUGGUACUAAUACCCCAUAACAUCAGGACCGGCAUCGGUUCUGGUUGAAAACUCCGGUGGUUAUGGAUGGGCAUGCGUUGUAUUAGCUGG